rnacentral:tRNA from 2 species
GCGGCAGUAGCUCAGUCGGAUAGAGCACCGGCCUUCUAAGCCGGGGGUCGGUGGGUUCGAGUCCUCCCUGCCGCG